GGCAUAAGAGCUAGGGCAGAAGCCAGACAGCAGAGCGAGGGUUGGGGGGCCCAGUGAAGAAAGUUGAUGCCAACAGAGGCCAUAUGAAGUGUGGACUCCAUGCAUCCCCUGCAUAUAUCCAAAAGGAGGCCUUCUCUGUUUCCUGUCUGCUUCACCACUGGGCUGUGAGCCUUAAAGGAUUUUAGAGUGAAGUGCCUACCAUGAGAGAGGCAUUCUAAUGGAUGCUUGGAUGUGAAAUGAACAAAGCAGGAAGCAUGGCACUGGAAUCUGCUUGGCUUCUGGGGAGCCCUCAGGAAGCUUACAAUCAUGGUGGAAGGCAAAGCAAGAGCCAACGUAUCACGCAGUCUAGCCACCCAGUGGAGCUACCGAUCUCCAUGCUGGUACUUGGGAGUGUCUGCAAAGAGUCCUGUGAUGUGAUCUGUCUUCAGGUCUUGCAGCCAUGGAGACCGACCCCUGCUCCCGUGGAGAUAGCAAGGAAGUAAAGUGGACCCUGCAGUGUCCUUGGC